rnacentral:rRNA from 1 species
UCCACGCCCUAAACGAUGAACACUAGUCGUCGGGAUGCUAGUCAUCUCGGUGAUGCACUUAACAGAUUAAGUGUUCCGCCUGGGGAGUACGGUCGCAAGAUUAAAACUCAAAGGAAUAGACGGGGGCCCGCACAAGCGGUGGAGCAUGUGGUUUAAUUCGACGCAACGCGAAGAACCUUACCUAGGUUUGACAUCCGCGGAAUUUUGUGGAAAC